CUCUCCGUAGCACAAGGGAUAGUGCAGCCGCCUCCUAAGCGGCAGAUCCGCGUUCGAGUCGCGGCGGAGGAACCA
rnacentral:tRNA from 1 species